rnacentral:lncRNA from 1 species
CUGAAGCAGCAGCAGCAGCAGCAGCAGCAGUCACCUACCUAGGCUGCAGCUAUCAGCAAGGCCAGCCCAGAGAAAGAAAGGCAACAAUAGACCAACAAAGAUGCCAUAGGCCACGCCUUCCUGCUUUAUCCUCCUCCUAUUGUGGACUCUCCAUGGGAAGUGUCAAUGUUACUUGUUUUUAUAUCCUCCGAGCAAGAGAAAAUCCAGUGACUGAAAAAGAAUAAGAAGAAAAACACUGACCAAGGCAAUAAUUCCAAGAAGUCAAAAAUUAAGGCCUGAGAGGAAGAAGGCAGACUAAAGAAAGUAGGUAAGACAGUGACCUGAACGAAAGUGCUGGCUCCAUGCUCUGUGACGUUGGGCGUCCUCACUGACCUCGGAAGCAUGGUCUUGGUGACACUGGUCAGGUGCAUGAAGUGUUAGAAAAUUUUAUUAAAGAUUCCAUGGUUGCAUCUC